rnacentral:sRNA from 1 species
GUUUGAUAAUAAUCUUCUCAAAGAAGGUGAUUUUAUAUAGAAAGUUUUAAGAAAUUUACAUUAAUUAUUUUUACCUAACCCCACCACCAGUGGCGGAUCUAGAGAAAUAUAUAGUUUAGGGCACUAUUUUUUAAUAUAUAUUUUUCAAGAAUAUGAUACAU